GUAUCCCUACGGGGGCAGCAGUAGGGAAUAUUGCUCAAUGGGGGAAACCCUGAAGCAGCAACGCCGCGUGGAGGAUGAAGGUUUUCGGAUUGUAAACUCCUUUUGUUAGAGAAGAUAAUGACGGUAUCUAACGAAUAAGCACCGGCUAACUCCGUGCCAGCAGCAGCGGUAAUACGGAGGGUGCAAGCGUUACUCGGAAUCACUGGGCGUAAAGAGCGCGUAGGCGGGAUAGCAAGUCAGAUGUGAAAUCCUAUGGCUUAACCAUAGAACUGCAUUUGAAACUGCUAUUCUAGAGUAUGGGAGAG
rnacentral:rRNA from 1 species